CCCUUAGAUGUUCUGGGCCGCACGCGUGCUACACUGAUGCAUUCAACGAGUCUAAAACCUGGUCUGAUAGGGCUGGGUAAUCUUUUGAAAGUGCAUCGUGAUUGGGAUAGAUGAUUGCAAUUCUUCAUCUUCAACGAGGAAUGCCUAGUAAACGCAAGUCAUCAGCUUGCAUUGAUUACGUCCCUGCCCUUUGUACACACCGCCCGUCGCUCCUACCGAUUGAAUGAUCCGAUGAAUACCAUGGAUUGAGAGUACGAAUAGGUUCGCUUAUUUCUGCUCCUCGAGAAGUGGAGUAAAUCUUAUCAUUUAGAGGAAGGAGAAGUCGUAACA
rnacentral:rRNA from 1 species